ensembl:snRNA U6 U6 spliceosomal RNA
GCGCUCACUGUGGCAGCAUGUCUACUAAAAGUGGAACGAUACAGAGAAGACUAGCAUGGCCCCUGUGCAAGGAUGACACGCACAUGUGUAAAUUGUUCCAUUAAAAA